rnacentral:tRNA from 1 species
CAGAGAAUAGUUUAAUGGAAAAUGCCAGCUUUGGGAGUUGGUGAUAGAGGUUUAAGUCCUCUUUUUCUGA